GUUAACAAUCGAUUAUAUAUCAGUCUUGUAAAAUCAAUUUAGACACUGCCUCUUGACAAUCGACUGUUAUAGGUUCACAAUCGAUUAUUUAAUAACUUUGAAAAAGUCUGGAAGACACUGCCUCAACACAAUUGAUUGUCACAAGUUCACAAUCGAUUAUUUUGUGACUUUGAAAAAUCUGAUGGACACUGUCUCUUCACAAUCGAUUGUCAUUAGCUUUACAAUCNNN
rnacentral:lncRNA from 1 species